CUCAGGAUGACAUCCUCCAGAUACAUCCAUUUGCCUAAGAAUUUCAUGAAUUCAUUGUUUUUAAUUGCUGAGUAGUACUCCAUUGUGUAAAUGUACCACAUUUUCUGUAUCCAUUCCUCUGUUGAUGGACAUAUGGGUUCUUUCCAGCUUCUGGCUACUAUAAAUAAGGCUGCUAUGAACAUAUCCUAAACACAUUCUUACAGCCUGAUAAAGGUCACUGCUGCACCUCUUAAGGUUCCUGCUUACACUGAAGUUUGAGGCCUGGGUGGCUGAACCUCACAGGGCCCCUUACCUCAGCCUAUCUGUCACUGCUUCCUCUUCUGGGAGUCACCUGACUGCACAUGCAUCCCACCCACCCUCAGAGCAUCCGGCCACAUUUUUCUCUCUGCAGCUGUCUUUCCCAGCUGUCAACCACACUUUGUUUAAGGUCAUGCUUCAGAGUCUCCUUUCCAUUUGUAAACCAAAGCACUUAGUAGAAACUGCAGCAAAGCAGUGGAAGAGCUGCCUGCCAUACUGGCCACAAACACACCGAACCCCAUGGUCCUACAGGAGACAUGAGAGAGAGAAAGGGGAUGUAUACUUGACAUGGCUCAGGGUGUGGCGUCAUCUGCCAAUUCCUCUAUGACUUUGGAAAGUCCUCGGUUUUCUUAUUAAAAUGGAAAUGAAAGGGGCAGCUACCUCUGUAAGAUUGAAGUGUGAUACUGAAUACAAAAGCAUUGCCUGACAUGAUUAAGCAUGGCUCACCUGAUAGAGUUGCCACAAGGUCUGGCAGCUCCCUGCAUAGAAAGGCCAAGUAUACCCAGUGCAUUACUGCACCAAUGACUACCAAAUGCUGAAGACAUAGGAGGUGCUAAGUAACUGUAUAUCUAACAGCUAUGACAGAUCCCUGGGGUGGGGAAGUGGGAACAAGAGAUGGGCACAGUGAAGUAAGUCCCUGGGUAGUGAAGGGGAAGGCAAGGGGAUUGCUUCCAGUGUUUGCCUGGUUGAGGCACCAGAUGCAAAAAGAAGCUCUGCACUCAAUAAAUGGUGGAGCCCAGGGGCCAUGUGAGACAAGAGAUUAGACUGGGAUUUAAGGGAAGCAGAUGUGAGUGGAGCAAAGCCAUGAGAAAGGAGUGUAUGACUGUCAUCAAUUUGACUUGAGCUAGAUCGUGCCUGCCAGCCUUCCCCAGCAGAUCUUCUGUUUCGCUUUCCUAAGAAACUCUGUCAACCAGACACAUGUGUCAUGGCAUGACAUGGUGUCCUGUUUCUUGGAGUGAAUACCAGGUAAAGAAAUAUUAAAUUUUCUUCACUACAUUUUCAUAAAAUAGGCAAUAAUAGGUAUAGCUGAGCUAAAGCUACCUUCUAAACAAUUCCCUUCUUAGGAGUGGCCUCUGUCUCAUCUGGUUUAAGACAAUGUCACAGGCAUCCAGGAAGGCAGUCUGUAUGUCAACUGGACACAGGCUGGAGUUACCACAG
rnacentral:lncRNA from 1 species